rnacentral:rRNA from 1 species
UACGUAGGCAGCAAGCGUUGUUCGGAAUUACUGGGCGUAAAGAGUGUGUAGGCGGUGCUCUAAGUUUGGCGUGAAAUCUCCCGGCUCAACCGGGAGGCUGCAUCGAAUACUGGAAUGCUAGAGGGUGGGAGAGGUAAGCGGAAUUCCUGGUGUAGCGGUGAAAUGCGUAGAUAUCAGGAGGAACACCGGUGGCGAAGGCGGGUCUCUGGGCCGUUACUGACGCUGAGGAGCGAAAGCGUGGGGAGCGAACAGG